CGUGUGAAUUGCAGAAUCCCGUGAAUCAUCGAGUCUUUGAACGCAAGUUGCGCCCGAGGCCUCGGCCGAGGGCACGUCUGCUUGGGCGUC
rnacentral:rRNA from 1 species